UACGUAGGGUGCAAGCGUUGUCCGGAAUUAUUGGGCGUAAAGAGCUCGUAGGCGGUUUGUCGCGUCUGCUGUGAAAUCUCGGAGCUUAACUCCGAAACUGCAUUCGAUACUGCCGUGCUUGAGGACUGGAGAGGAGACUGGAAUUUACGGUGUAGCGGUGAAAUGCGUAGAUAUCGUAAGGAAGACCAGUGGCGAAGGCGGGUCUCUGGACAGUUCCUGACGCUGAGGCACGAAGGUCAGGGGGAGCAAACGGG
rnacentral:rRNA from 1 species